GGAAACUCCGAGUUCCAAUUGGAGCUGUUGCUGCUGUUUCUGAUGGACUAUCAAAUUACUUGGACUUUUCACCACCAAAUGUGGCUCUUCUGGAUGACAUCCAAGAAGAAUCAGGCAGUAAAUUUGGGUUGACUCCGGAUAAGUGGAUUAAAUUUGAGCUGCAAGACACGGAAAGAGUCAACCAUAACUCUCACCUUUUCAGGGCUCCUGUAGGACUGGGUGAUAAUGGGAAAACGGAAUAUGUACUUCGCUCGGAUGCAUCCAUCUUAUAAAACUUGCAAUGUUGAGUCUUGUGCAUGCAAUGUCGCAGAUAUGCUUACCACUAUGUCUUCAGGUACACUCCUAUAUCAGAUCCCGAAUCCAAGGGUUAUUUUGAUUUAUUGGUUAAGGUACACAAUGCACAACUAUAGGCUAUUCUAUUACCCCUCUAAUUCGCACUAAAAGUAUUCACUGACUGGUCAUUUGCAUCAAAUUGUGCAAGAUUUAUCCAGAAGGGAAAAUGAGCCGGCAUCUGGCGAAUUUAAGACCAGGAGAUGUGCUCGAAGUAAAAGGGCCAAAGGUAAAGCUCCAAUAACAUGAAGAAAAACAUCGGAAUGAUAGCUGGUGGCACAGGCAUUACGCCGAUAUUGCAAGUGAUUGACGCUAUUCUAAAGAAUCCCGAUGACAAAACUCAGAUACUCUCAGCUAUAUGCUAACAUCUCACCAGAAGACAUACUACUAAAGCAAAAACUUGACAUACUCUCAGCUAGCUACCCAAAUUUGAAGGUGGUUUUGUCUCUUUAGUGGGAAGCUCGUGGUAUUACUGAUGGUGUUAGCAAUUUUGUGAGAAGAGACUAAUUUUUGCGUUUGGAGCCAGAUAUACUACACUGUAGAAAACCCAACUAACAACUGGAAGGGAAGGAAAGGCUAUAUAACACAAAAUAUGGUUGAGAAAGGCAUGCCUAGUCCAAGCGAAGACACUCUUAUUCUAGUCUCUGGCAUACUUAUGGAACUUGGUUACACCAAAGAGAUGGUUCACAGGUUCCGAUGGAUAUUUAAGGCAUCAGGUCAGAAGCAAUAAGCCAAGUUUGUUUCUUGUAAUGUGAAAUCUGCAGCUUCGCACUGUAAUAUUAUUAUUCAAGCAGUAAGAAAAUUUUCAUGUGUAUCAGUGUUUGUAAAUGCAACAGUUAAUAUUAUUCAACUCCCACUGUAAUUUUCACAGCAGUGAGAAUA